rnacentral:rRNA from 1 species
GACGAACGCUGGCGGCGUGCCUAAUACAUGCAAGUAGAACGCUGAAGGAGGGGCUUGCUUCUCUGGAUGAGUUGCGAACGGGUGAGUAACGCGUAGGUAACCUGCCUGGUAGCGGGGGACAACUAUUGGAAACGAUAGCGAAUACCGCAUAAGAGUAGAUGUUGCAUGACAUUUGCUUAAAAGGUGCAAUUGCAUCACUACCAGAUGGACCUGCGUUGUAUUAGCUAGUUGGUGGGGUAACGGCUCACCAAGGCGACGAUACAUAGCCGACCUGAGAGGGUGAUCGGCCACACUGGGACUGAGACGAGGCGCAGAAGACUACGGGAGGCAGCAGUAGGGAAUAUUCGGGCAUGGACGGAAGUAUGACCGAGCAACGACGCGUGAGUGAAGAAGGUUUUCGGAUCGUAAAGAUCUGUUGUAAGAGAAGAACGAGUGUGAGAGUGGAAAGUUCACACUGUGACGGUAUCUUAAAAGAAAGGGACGGCUAACUACGUG